GAUGAACGCUGGCGGCGUGCCUAAUACAUGCAAGUCGGACGGAGGCAUCAGNGAUGGUGUCUUAGUGGCGAACGGGUGAGUAACGCGUUGGUGACCUGCCCCGAAGAGCGGGAUAACAGAUCGAAAGGUCUGCUAAUACCGCAUGAGCUCUCACGGGUUAGAGGGGUGAGAGGAAAGGCCGGAAGGCGCUUUGGGAGGGGCCUGCGUCCCAUCAGCUAGUUGGCGGGGUAAAAGCCCACCAAGGCGAUGACGGGUAGGGGGCCUGAGAGGGUGACCCCCCACAAUGGAACUGAAACACGGUCCAUACACCUACGGGUGGCAGCAGUAGGGAAUAUUGGGGAAUGGGCGAAAGCCUGACCCAGCAACGCCGCGUGCGCGAAGAAGGCCUUCGGGUUGUAAAGCGCUUUUCUCAGGGAUGAGGAAGGACAGUACCUGAGGAAGAAGUCUCGGCUAACUACGUGCCAGCAGCCGCGGUAACACGUAGGAGACGAGCGUUAUCCGGAUUUACUGGGUGUAAAGCGCGUGUAGGCGGCGAGGUAAGUUGGAUGUGAAAGCUCCCGGCUUAACUGGGAGAGGUCGUUCAAGACUGCCUGGCUAGAGUGCAGCAGAGGGGAGUGGAAUUCCGAGUGUAGCGGUAAAAUGCAUAGAUAUUCGGAAGAACACCAGUGGCGAAGGCGGCUCUCUGGGCUGCAACUGACGCUCAGACGCGAAAGCUAGGGGAGCGAACGGGAUUAGAGACCCCGGUAGUCCUAGCCGUAAACGAUGUGAACUAGGCGUAGGCGGGUUGAAAUCCGUCUGUGCCGGAGCAAACGCGAUAAGUUCACCACCUGGGGACUACGGCCGCAAGGUUAAAACUCAAAGGAAUUGACGGGGGCCCGCACAAGCAGCGGAGCGUGUGGUUUAAUUCGAUGCUACACGAAGAACCUUACCAGGGUUUGACAUGCAAGUGGUAGUGAAGCGAAAGCGGAGCGACCCUUCGGGGAGCUUGCACAGGUGUUGCAUGGCUGUCGUCAGCUCGUGUCGUGAGAUGUUCGGUUAAGUCCGCUAACGAGCGCAACCCAUGCCGUGUGUUACAAGUGUCACACGGGACUGCCGGUCUUAAGCCGGAGGAAGGUGUGGAUGACGCCAAGUCAGCAUGACCUAUAUAUCCUGGGCUACACACACGCUACAAUGGCCGGUACAAUGGGUCGCGAAACCGCGAGGUGGAGCCAAUCCAGAAAGCCGGUCUCAGUUCAGAUUGCAGUCUGCAACCCGACUGCAUGAAGACGGAGUUGCUAGUAACCGCAGGUCAAGCCAUACUGCGGUGAAUACGUUCCCGGGCCUUGUACACACCGCCCGUCACGUCAUGGGAGCUUGGUAACACCUGAAGCCGGUAUUCUAACCCGCGAGGGAGGGAGCCGUCGAGGGUGGGACUGGUGACUGGGACGA
rnacentral:rRNA from 1 species